rnacentral:rRNA from 1 species
CUGCAUGAAGUCGGAAUUGCUAGUAAUCGCGGAUCAGCAUGCCGCGGUGAAUACGUUCCCGGGCCUUGUACACACCGCCCGUCACACCAUGGGAGCCGGUAAUACCCGAAGUCAGUAGUCCAACCUCGUGAGGACGCUGCCGAAGGUAGGAUUGGCGACUGGGGUAAAGUCGUAACAAGGUACC